rnacentral:lncRNA from 1 species
CAGGACAGUGAGGUGCUGGAACAGGCUGCCCAGAGCAGCUGUGGGUGCCCCGUGCCUGGAGUGAUCUCUGAGGUCCCCUCCAACCUAAUCAGUUCUGUGAUGCUGUGAUCCCAGAUCUUGGUGCCCAGAGCGCCGUCCUUGGAGGUGCCCAAGCCAUGACAGAUGAUGAGCUGAUGAAUCUCAACAACCACCUUCAGAGGAAUCCUGUAACAAAAGUAAGAAUUUCAGUGGGAUUCCUUGUCACCCUGCUGAGAAUAUGGAAGUCACAGGUUAACAGAAACUUCCUUUGACCAUUCCACCAGCAAGGCAGGUGCCUGGCAAAAGAUCAUCCCACUGGGUUCCUGACAAUAUCUCAAGCCACAGAAAUCAAAUCAGUCUAAAAAUAAAUUAUCUAUAAAAACAUGAGCUGCUGCAG